rnacentral:misc_RNA from 1 species
CAGCAUCCUCGUUUUUUACACCUCAUUUUCCGGUUCCCGAUAUAUCCCCGCACUCUCACAGCACACAUCUCUCAUCUGUCCCCGCCCAGCCCGGCCCAUUCCCUACUUGGUCUUACAUAGAAGGUGACUCGUAGCAAACUUCUACUUAUCUGUGGAAUUCCUUCUUUAGACUAAGAAAUUCAUCAGCUCUUCCUUCCAUUUUCUCCUGUUUCAAUUCCAUAUCUUCUCUGUUUUCUCGUUCAAUAAUCCCACUCUUUCAUGGGCACACCUUGUUUCAUGGGUUAUGAUACGAGUUUUUGAGAGAAUAAAGAGAGGGGGGGAAAAGAAAAGAACUUUGCGAGGUACCCACAUGCAGUUUCUGCUUCAAUUUUGUUUUUUGGUUGUUGUUUGCUCUGCUUUCGAGUUGCACAAGAUAAUUUUGCAGGUGUUUUUGUGGUUGUUUCUGAUGGAUUUUGCUUCAUGCUUGAAGCUUUUAACUCGAAGUAGUGAAUUUAAAGGUGGGUUUUUGUUGCUUGGUUGUUUCUCACCGGCUUUCAAUAUUUUUGGGUUGUUCUUGGUGUUUGGUCUGGGGUUGAAGUUGUUGAAAUUUACUUGGCAGGGUAAGGGCUUGAUUCCCUUUUUAUGUGAGAUUAGAGGGAAAUCAGGGUAUAAAAAAUGUGGAUUCUGUUUAAAAAAGGGUUUUGAUAAAGUAUGUUAUUCAAAGAUGAUGUCUUUCAGGUGUAGUUCGCUGAAAUUGUUGGGGAAUUCAAAGUCAAGAAAUAAGGAUGAUUUGUUGGUAAGCAAAGAGCCUCCGAAUCCAAAUGGUGUUGCUGUUGUUGAUUAUUAUAAAUCUGAAAGAGAAUGGGAUGAUGAUGAUGAUGAAAGAAAAUGUUGUGUUGAAGAUGAGGAAUUUGAUGCAAUUGCUCUGAGGAGAUUGGUCAAAAAAGAGCGGCAUAGAGCAGACAUGGUUUAUACAGAACUUGAGAAGGAGAGAAUGGCUUCUGCAUCAGCAGCUGAUGAAGCAAUGGCAAUGAUUUUACGGCUUCAAAGCGAGAAGAGCUCCAUGGAGAUUGAAGCCAAUCAGCAACGUAGAUUGGCAGAGCGUAAGCUAGAAUACGAUCAAGAAAUGAUUGAAUCACUGCAAUGGAUUUUAAUGAAACAUGAGUCUGAAAGGACUGUGCUAGAGGAAAAGUUGAGAUGGUGUGAAGAAAAGUUGAAGCAGUAUAUGAAGAGUGGUGAAGUUGAUCAAUUUCAAGGGUCUUAUGCCAGUUCGAGUUUUGAUGUUGAAUCCGCUAUGGAAGAGGGUUUUGAAGACGUGCAAACAGACUUGGUUGAAGAGGACUUCGCACUUUUAGUUUGCACAGAUACACACAAAGCUUAACUGAGCAUUAAAGCAGUAUCAGCAAGAAGUCCAAUUCCAAGUACCCUGGCAUGUCAAGGUGAGGGAACCUAAACUUAUGGUAGCGGAGCUGGAGUGGAAUUCGAGCUCUCCUUCGGUGGCAUGUCAAAAUUGCCAUCUCUUUACUUUCAAAGGCAAAUCGAGAUUCGGGAAACAACUAAAAAGACUCAAGAAAAUCAAUAACCUUUUACUCAGUAGUAACGGAGUUGUCUUUAAAACUGUGAAGUCUUUAAUUUGAAUCUCAAUAAGAGCCAAUUGUAUAAAAGAAAAAAGAGAGAAGGCUCAAGAAACACUUGCUACAAGUGAUGCGCUGAUAUAGCAUCGGCUAUACAGUCAAUACUUUUCCUUCUUAAAUGUGACAGGAAAUUCCUUCUAUGCACCCAGGUGUGUAAAUCAAUUUACACACAAAUUCAAUUAGAAAUUAUACUCUUAUAUAUAUAAUGUCUUACUAUGUUUUUAGAUAGAAUUUACCAUUGUUUUGAAUUACAUGUCAAUUCCUGGUAAAUGGAUGUAUACACUGGAGUGCGUGUAAGAAUUUCCCAAUGUGACAAAAUUUCUGUUGAAAGGUUUCUUGCUUAAUGAGAAUUUGCUGUUUCAAUAA